rnacentral:rRNA from 1 species
GACGAACGCUGGCGGCGUGCUUAACACAUGCAAGUCGAACGGAGAAUUUAUUUCGGUAAAUUCUUAGUGGCGAACGGGUGAGUAACGCGUGGGCAACCUGCCCUUCAGAUGGGGACAACAUCCCGAAAGGGGUGCUAAUACCGAAUACGAUCACGCUGCCGCAUGGCGGUGUGAUGAAAGAUGGCCUCUAUUUAUAAGCUAUCGCUGAAGGAUGGGCCUGCGUCUGAUUAGCUAGUUGGUGGGGUAACGGCCUACCAAGGCGAUGAUCAGUAGCCGGUCUGAGAGGAUGAACGGCCACAUUGGGACUGAGACACGGCCCAAACUCCUACGGGAGGCAGCAGUGGGGAAUAUUCCGCAAUGGACGAAAGUCUGACGGAGCAACGCCGCGUGAGUGAUGAAGGUUUUCGGACUGUAAAACUCUGUUGUUUAGGACGAAAGUGCCUGUUGCAAAUAGUUGCAGGUAUUGACGGUACUGAACGAGGAAGCCACGGCUAACUACGUG